AGAAUCAACGCUGGCGGCGUGCCUAACACAUGCAAGUCGAACGAGAAAGGGGAGCAAUCCCUGAGUAAAGUGGCGCACGGGUGAGUAACACGUGACUAACCUACCCUGGAGUGGGGGAUAACUGAGGGAAACCUUAGCUAAUACCGCAUAACACCUACGGGUCAAAGGAGCAAUUCGCUUUGGGAGGGGGUCGCGGCCGAUUAGUUAGUUGGCGGGGUAAUGGCCCACCAAGACAGUGAUCGGUAUCCGGCCUGAGAGGGCGCACGGACACACUGGAACUGAAACACGGUCCAGACUCCUACGGGAGGCAGCAGUGGGGAAUUUUGCGCAAUGGGGGAAACCCUGACGCAGCAACGCCGCGUGGAGGAUGAAGUACUUCGGUACGUAAACUCCUUUCGAUCGGGACGAUAAUGACGGUACCGGAAGAGAAGCCCGGCUAACUUCGCGCCAGCAGCCGC
rnacentral:rRNA from 1 species